CCUACGGGAGGCAGCAGUGGGGAAUAUUGGACAAUGGGGGCAACCCUGAUCCAGCAAUGCCGCGUGAGUGAUGAAGGCCUUCGGGUUGUAAAGCUCUUUUGUCAGGGACGAUAAUGACGGUACCUGACGAAUAAGCUCCGGCUAACUUCGUGCCAGCAGCCGCGGUAAUACGAAGGGAGCUAGCGUUGUUCGGAAUUACUGGGCGUAAAGGGCGCGUAGGCGGCUUUAUAAGUCAGAUGUGAAAUCCCUGGGCUUAACCUAGGAAUGGCAUUUGAUACUGUAAGGCUAGAGAUCGAGGGAGGAUAGUGGAAUUGCGAGUGUAGAGGUGAAAUUCGUAGAUAUUCGCAAGAACACCGGUGGCGAAGGCGGCUAUCUGGCUCGAUACUGACGCUAAGGCGCGAAAGCGUGGGGAGCAAACAGGAUUAGAUACCCUGGUAGUCCACGCUGUAAACGAUGAAUACUAGAUGUUGGGAGAGANAUACUCUCUAGUGUCGUCGAGCUAACGACAUUAAGUUAAGUUACCGUCCGUCGGGUAGGUACGGUCGGCGACGAAGUUAAAACUUAACAAAGAAGUAGUACGGCGUGAGACGUGCCGACGACGACGACGAGGGAGGUUAGG
rnacentral:rRNA from 1 species